rnacentral:rRNA from 1 species
CAGCCGCCGCGGUAAUACGUACUCCGCUAGUGGUGUUCUCUAAUAUUGGGCCUAAAACGUCUGUAGCCGGUUCAAAAAGUCUUCGGUGAAAUCGCCCAGCUUAACUGGGCGAAAUGCCAAAGAUACUGUUGAACUCGAGACCGGGAGGUGUGAAGGGAAUUUCCGGGGUAGCGGUGAAACGCUAUGAUCCCGGAAGGACCACCAGUAGCGAAGGCGCUUCACAAGAACGGUUCUGACGGUGAGAGACGGAAGCUGGGGGAGCGACCCGGAUUAGAUACCCGGUUAGUCCCAGCCGUAAACGAUGUGGACUAGGUGUUCCAAUUCCGCAUGGAAUGGGAGUGCCGAAGCGAAGGCGUUAAGUCCACUGCCUGGGGAGUAAGGUCGCAAGGCCGAAACUUAAUGGAAUUGGCGGGGGCGCACUACAAGGGGUGGAUGCUGCGGUUUAAUUGGAUUCAACGCCAGACAACUCACCAGGGCAGACAGCAGAAUGAUGGACAGUCUGAAGGGCUUUCCUGACGCGCUGAGAGGUGUUGCAUGGCCAUCGUCAGCUCGUACUAUGAAGCGUCCUGUUAACUCAGGUAACGAGCGAGACCCAUGCCCUUAGUUGCUAUUCUUCCUUUUGGAAGGAGCACUCUAGGAGGACUGCUUGCGCAAGCAAGAGGAAGGAGUGGGCAACGGUAGGUCUGUAUGGCCCGAAUGCCUUGGGCUACACGCGGCAUACAAUGGUUGAGACAAUGAGUUCCGACUCCGAAAGGAAUAGGGUAAUCCCCCUAAACUCAACCUUAGUUCGGACUGAGGGUUGCAACUCACCCCUCAUGAAGCUGGAAUCCCCAGUAAUCGCAUGUCAUUAUCGUGCGGUGAAUAAGUCCCUGCCCCNUUGCACAC